rnacentral:rRNA from 1 species
GACGAACGCUGGCGGCGGGCUUAACACAUGCAAGUCGAACGGAAAGGCCCUGCUUUUGUGGGGUGCUCGAGUGGCGAACGGGUGAGUAACACGUGAGUAACCUGCCCUUGACUUUGGGAUAACUUCAUGAAACUGGGGCUAAUACCGGAUAGGAGCUCCUGCUUCAUGGUGGGGGUUGGAAAGUUUCGGCGGUUGGGGAUGGACUCGCGGCUUAUCAGCUUGUUGGUGGGGUAGUGGCUUACCAAGGCUUUGACGGGUAGACGGCCUGAGAGGGUGACCGGCCACAUUGGGACUGAGAUACGGCACAGACUCAUACGGGAGGCAGAAGUGGGGAAUAUUGCACAAUGGGCUGAAGCAUGAUGCAGCAAAGCCGCGUGCGGGAUGACGGCAUUCGGGUUGUAUACCGCUUUCGCCUGUGACGAAGCGUGAGUGACGGUAAUGGGUAAAGAAGCACCGGCUAACUACGUG